GAAAUGCGAUAAGUAGUGUGAAUUGCAGAAUUCAGUGAAUCAUCGAAUCUUUGAACGCACAUUGCGCCCUUUGGUAUUCCAAAGGGCAUGCCUGUUCGAGCGUCAUUUGUACCCUCAAGCUUUGCUUGGUGUUGGGCGUCUUGUCUCUAGCUUUGCUGGAGACUCUCCUUAAAGUAAUUGGCAGCCGGCCUACUGGUUUCGGAGCGCAGCACAAGUCGCACUCUCUAUCAGCAAAGGUCUAGCAUCCAUUAAGCCUUUUUUCAACUUUUGACCUCGGAUCAGGUAGGGAUACCCGCUGAACUUAAGC
rnacentral:misc_RNA from 1 species